GGAGGGAUGGCUGAGUGGUCGAAAGCGGCGGUCUUGAAAACCGUUGAGGCGCAAGCCUCCGGGGGUUCGAAUCCCUCCCCCUCCGCCA
rnacentral:tRNA from 1 species